GUUUCCUAUCUCUUCUUGUACAUUCUUUUCCCUUUAAUAAACUAGGUCAAGUUGCCUCCCCUUCCUUUUGAAAAAAAAAAAUUUGCAAUGCUACACUAUAGUUGUAUGCACUGGCAAUACCAGAGAAGGCAUCCUUUGGGUGGAUGGAACUCAGCUCUUCAUUGGAAUAGAGACUUGACCAAGGAGGAUUCAAAAGCCAAGGCCUUCACCUCCC
rnacentral:lncRNA from 1 species